rnacentral:lncRNA from 1 species
CAUCAACGGAUGAAUGGGAGAAAGAAACCACGACUAGACGCCAACAGACGAAUAGGAAAGACUCAACCAGACAUCAACGGAUGAAUGAGAGAAAGAAACCACGACUAGACGCCAAUGGACGAAUAGGAAAGACUCAACCAGACAUCAACGGAUGAAUGGGAGAAAGAAACCACGACUAGACGCCAACGGACGAAUAGGAAAG